AUUGAACGCUGGCGGCAGGCCUAACACAUGCAAGUCGAACGGUAACAGGGAUCAGCUUGCUGAUUCGCUGACGAGUGGCGGACGGGUGAGUAAUGUCGGGGAAACUGCCUGAUGGAGGGGGAUAACUACUGGAAACGGUAGCUAAUACCGCAUAACGUCGCAAGACCAAAGAGGGGUACCUUCGGGCCUCUUGCCAUCGGAUGUGCCCAGAUGGGAUUAGCUAGUAGGUGGGGUAACGGCUCACCUAGGCGACGAUCCCUAGCUGGUCUGAGAGGAUGACCAGCCACACUGGAACUGAGACACGGUCCAGACUCCUACGGGAGGCAGCAGUGGGGAAUAUUGCACAAUGGGCGCAAGCCUGAUGCAGCCACGCCGCGUGUAUGAAGAAGGCCUUCGGGUUGUAAAGUACUUUCAGCGGGGAGGAAGGGAGUAAAGUUAAUCCCUUUGCUCAUUGACGUUACCCGCAGAAGAAGCACCGGCUAACUCCGUG
rnacentral:rRNA from 1 species